GUGAUGGGUAAAGCAGGCUAGACAAGUUGUCAAAUCCUAACCCUAACGUGACUACUCAUCCAAAUUUGAAUAGUCCUAGUCAGGUACCAAAGCUUAUUUCAAUUUGUAUUUCCUACAAUCAAUAACGAUACUUCAAUUACCAGAUAUUAUAAGAAGAGUGAUCCAAUAUUCAUCAUGGUCCCAGGAAGGCCUCCGGUUCCAGAUAAUCCUCUAGCGCUCUCGUGGCAUGACAGUGCCUGGAUUCCGAUGCUUAAUCCAAGCAAUAUUAUGGAUUAUUUUUCAGAACGUAGCAAUCCGUUCUUUGAUAGGACUUGCAACAAUGAAACUGUUAAGAUGCAAAGACUCAAUCCUGAUCAGUUGACGAACAUGACUGGAUUUGAAUAUAUUUUACUGCAUGUACAAGAGCCAAUUCUCUAUGUGAUUCGCAAACAACAUCGACAUUCGCCCACUGUAGCUACGCCUUUAGCGGAUUAUUAUAUUAUAGCAGGCGUUGUUUACCAAGCACCAGAUCUAGGCUCUGUUGUCAACUCGAGAUUGUUAUCUACAGUUCACCACUUGCAGUCAGCUUUCGAGGAGGCUAGUGCAUGCUCAAGAUAUCAUCCAAGCAAAGGAUACACGUGGGAUUUUAAAAAUGGCAAAGCAUUACCAGCCAAAAAAGAAGUACCGGUUAGAGAGGAGCCUAGUUCACUGUUUCAACGUCAAAGAGUAGACAUGCUGCUUGCCGAACUGACUCGUAAAUUUCCAUUGCCUGUACCAAAGCCUGUACAACCGGCUGUCGAAUCUGCUGUGGAAACCAAGCAAGAAAUAAAGACUGAAAAGAAAGACAUGAAACCACCGCCUGAGAAAAAACCGAGAAUUAAUUAAACUUAUCAGAUACUGCAACAAAUGUACAUACUAUAUAAUUCCUAUGAAGUUUGUUUUAUGACCACAGACUAUUAAGAGUUUUUAUUCAGAAUAUGAUCAAAAUGAAUUUAAGCUGGAAUAACAUUUUUAUGCUCAAUAAAACAAUGCAUUUUUUAUCCAUGCUAGAGCCUUCCAUUGUUUUCUAUAUCUAAGAGGAAACAAAAAUGAAAAAUUGAAAAGCUGUUUUAAGUUGAACUAUUGCACAUAUUGGCUAUGAAUAGAAUAUGAAUAUACUCGGAGUUCAGAGCUAAACUACUCGAGGUUAUAUUAUGAACUUUAGCAUCCGUAGAACGGAUUUUUUUAUAUUAACUUAAGCCUGAUACUUUAGUAGCGUCUAACGUAUUUGAUAAAACUAUUGUGUUAUGACGUGCAUGCAGCGUUCCAGCCGAUUCGAAACUGUAGAUUUUGAUAGCGAUUUUGGAGAUAACGUUGAAACUUUUAGGCCUCCCAAGGCAAAUGGAGAUGUCAUUAAACGGAUACGUCAUGCUAAAUGUAAGGUGAUACAAUUAGCCCGUGAACAGAUACGACGAUUCAAUGAGAGACAAGCAAAACUCGAAGCGAGAAUGCGAGCAGCAAAUACGUUAUGGAAUCGAAUACGAAAACGUGG
rnacentral:misc_RNA from 1 species